rnacentral:pre_miRNA from 15 species
UGUCAAGUGUAUCCUGUGUUGCAGUUUCGGUUUGUGACCGACACUAACGGGUAGUUGAGGCAUCUCGUAUUCGCUGUUUUAUACUCGUUUUUGCGAUCACAAAUUCUGAAAUUGCAACGAAACGCAACGAAAAUGAA